ensembl:lncRNA
GAUUAAUAUCUAUGAAUAAAUACAUAAAUAAGAUAUGUAGAUAUUCCACUGGUCUCUCUCACUCCUUUCUCCAUUUCUCAUCACAAUCCACCUUGAACAAUAAAAUUCCCAGGAAUAGCUUUAAGGUUUGUCCCUUAUUUAUUUGAAAUGUAGAAAACCAAAUACACCUAUAAUUUAGGGAGAACAGCACACUGCUCUCACUUGCAGAACAGGCAACAACAUUGGCAGUGAGUAUGAGAAAUGCAACUGGCAGUGCCAAUAAUGCUUAGUUGGUGCUAAAAAAAUAUAUAAUUAAAUAACUGAGCAUGUUCAAGAGAUAGGUUGACAUGGGUGAAUUGGCUAGUCGGUUGUCUUUACUUCAUUUAUGGAUUAGUGCCUUACCUGAUGCUGAAAUUAUGUCUCCUUCUCUGUCAACAACCAAUAGUGCAUCCUAAUCUUGAAGUGUACUGGUGCACUGUUAGACAGAACUCACAGACAAUUGGCAGAUGAACAAAGUGGGAUUACAUUAUGAAUGUCCCCACUCCAUUGCUAUUGAUUGCAGAUCCUGCUUUAAUUAAUCAGACCAAUCAUUUUUGCUGUGUGUGAACCUGGCCUGGUGAUAUACUACUACUUUUCCAGAAGGGAGAAGGUAGCGGGGAAACACUCUGGACAGCCUCAGCUUGACUGUUGUGAUUUUAAAACCUUGACCCUCCCAAGUGAAUUGCGCAUCACAGUGCCACAUUUGUUACCUUGAAAACACAAAAUGGAACUGACAUUGACUGCUGUCCAUAGAAUAAAAAAAAAAAGCUAAUCACAUCAUUCUACAAUCCUGUUUCCAAAGAAAUUAGGGCACUGUGUAAAAUGGGAAUAAAAACAGAAUGCAAAGAUGUGCCAGUCAUUUAAACCAUAUAUUCAAUAGAAAAUAAUAAAAAGACAACAUCAAAUGUUGAAACUGAGAAAUUGUAUUGUUCUUUGAAAAAUAUAUGCCCACUUUCAAUUUGAUGCUAGCAACAUGUUUCAAAAAAGUGGGGACAGAGGCAACAAAAGAACGGAAACGUUGUGUAAUAUUAAAAAAAUAACUAAUUAGGUUAAUUGUCAAAAAGUCAAGUAACAUGAUUGGGUAUAAAAAGAGCUUACCAGAGAGGAUGAGUCUUUCAGAAGUAAAGAUAGGGAGGGGUCCACCAUUCUGUGAGAGACUGCGCUGCUAAGUGGUGCAACAAUUUAAGAAUAAUGUUUCUCAAAGUAAAAGUUUGUUUAUAAUCUACGGAACAUAAUAUUGUUAAAAGAUUCAGAGAAUCUGGAGAAAUCUCUGUAUGCAAGGGACAAGGCUGAAAACCAGUAUUGGAUUGCUGUGAUCUUCAGGCCCUCAGGCAGCACUGCAUUAACAACAGACAUGAUCAUGUAGUGGAAAUCACUGCUUGGCCACAUGAACACUUGGGAAAACAAACAAAAGUAUUUUUCAAUUGAUGUAAAUAACAUCACUAGCAAGAAAAUGUUUCAGGCACUUCCAUGUUUUAUUGACAGUCAGGGGAGAAGAUAGACAAUAGAGAUUUUGGUGAAACAAGCAGUUGGCUGGAUUUGAACCCAUGCUGCAGUGGUACCGACGCUGAAAGCUGCCAUAUCAUUCCAAUAAAUAUCGCUGUGAUACCAAACCACAUUGUUGCUGUAGGUGUUAGAGGCGUCAUUCCUCAUUGACAUCAAAACGUAUUUCACUAGGAUGUACAUCCUUUAUGCACUAUUCUGUAUAAAGGAUGUAUGAGGAAAGGAUCUUAUUCUGUUAAUGGUUGGAUGAGUGCAUUAUGUCCGUAAUGCAGGGAUCCUGAGGUGGGAAAUAUGGAUAGUGGCCAGCCUGAGGGUUGCUGGAAGAAGUCUGGCAGGGCGGCAUUUGCCAAAGCACAAAGCUCAAGCUAACAGAAAUGGAUUCAGAAGGAAAAUAGUCAGUUUAUCUAAAGGCUUUUGCACCCCUUCUUUUGCCAAAUUAAGGGAUAUGGUCGACCAGACACUUUUUGCCCACCCCCGAAAGGUUGUUGUUUUUUGUAGGAAGAAUGAAUGUGAGAAACCAGCGAC